AUGGAUGCCAGUGGCUACAAAGAUAUUGGGGAGAAGGCUGCACACAAGGGAAUCACAAUAUCUGAAGCAAGACCCCCGGACUCCCUAGUCCAUUUGUGUGCAGGGCUACCUGGCUGUGGGCGCAGACACCCUCUACUUCGGGCCGGGCUCCAGGCUCUUGGUUUUAGAUAAUCUGGAAAGGGUGACUCCCCCCAAGGUGACUGUGUUUCAGCCAUCUGAGGAAGAGAUUGAGAAGAAGGGAAAGGCCACACUGGUGUGUCUGGCCACAGGCUUCUACCCUGACCUCGUGGAGCUGAGAUGGUGGGUGAAUGGACAGGAGACCCAAGUUGGGGUCAGCACGGACCCUCAGCCCUCCAGGGAGGAGCCCCAUAACAACCAUUCCAAAUACUCUCUGAGCAGCCGCCUCCGGGUUUCUGCUCCCUUCUGGCGCAACCCCAAGAACAGCUUCCGUUGCCAAGUACUGUUCUAUGGCAUCUCUGAGGACGAGACCUGGACAAGUAACCAGAACAAACCUGUCACCCAGAAUGUCAGUGACCAGAUCUGGGGAAGGGCAGAUUGUGGUGUUACUUCUGAGUCCUAUCAACAAAGUAUCCAGUCGGCCACCGUUUUCUAUGAGAUCCUGUUGGGGAAAGCUGUGCUGUACGGCCUGCUGCUCAGUGCCCUGGUGUGGAGAAGCAAGGCCAAGAGAAACUAUUCCUGAUGCCAACUGUGGUGGUGAAAACAAAGAGGACAGAACAAGAGGAUUUGGCACCCCAGUUUGGUUUCUGCUUUUUCUAUUCCUAUUCUAUGUUCCAGAAACGCUAUUGUUCCCUCAGUCUUUAUGCUCAUCUUUCACAUGUCACCCCAAAGGAAACACUCCAAUUCUGAAAGGAGGAUGGUGGUUUGAUCUUGAAGAAAUAAAAAAAAAUCCUACCCUGGCUUAGC